GUGCACCAGGCGCGAAUCUUCCGCAAUGGGCGAAAGCCUGACGGAGCGACGCCGCGUGACCGAAGACGCCCUUCGGGGUGUAAAGGUCUUUUCUAGGGGACCAAUAUCCCGAUUUAUCGGGGUGAGUGUACCCUAGGAAUAAGGGGCCGCCAAACUCGUGCCAGCAGCGGCGGUAAGACGAGUGCCCCAAGCGUUAUCCGGAAUUACUGGGGCGUAAAAGCGUCUGUAGGGGGUUUUGAUAAGUCUCCUGUCAAAUUCCGAUGCUCAACAUCGGAACCGCAGGAGAAACUAUCAAACUAGAGGGUGCGAGAGGCUGAUGGAACUCAGGGAGUAGGGGUGAAAUCCGUUGAUACCCUGAGGAACACCAAAGGCGAAGGCAUUCAGCUGGCGCACUCCUGACCCCUGAGAGACGAAAGCGUGGGAGCGAACGGGAUUAGAUACCCGGGUAGU
rnacentral:rRNA from 1 species